rnacentral:misc_RNA from 1 species
GUAUCUAGUUUUAUGGGUAUAUUUUUGUAUGGCUUUGUUUUAUGUUAAAUUAAAUCCCAUAUUUUCAAGAUUUAACCUUCAUUUACCAGCUGAAAAUGAUUUAUCUGAAAGCCAUUCAGAUGUUUAUCUCGUGUGUUUGUAUCAAUCGUUUCUUUUGAUUCUUUGUCGUUUCUGUUCUAUAUAAAAUUGUGUGUGUUGAUGUCCUCAAUUUUUUU